CAUUCCCCAUAUGAAUUUUAUAACCCUCCUCUGCACUUUUCUGUUCUAGUUUCUAGAAAAUACAUAUUUAUACCUGGGAAUAUUGAAAGAUCCGUAAUAUUGAGUGUCCCUUGUUUCUUUUCCUAUCAGGGCAGGAAAAUAUGCAGUUUUGGUGGUAAGAGUGAGGACAGUUGAAAUGUCCCAAAACUGAGGAAAACCGAUACAUAGUUAUUG